rnacentral:lncRNA from 10 species
CCCAGUCAGUCGGCCAAUAGACCCGGAACCUGAGGGAUCGGAAUCCUGGUCCACUCCGCAGAGGCCCGAGCGGGCUCGCGAGGGAACGGGUUCUCCGAGUCUGGCCGGUUCUGUAGGGUGUUUGGGUCACUGGAGCCUUUGAGACCCGAGAGAUUAUUUUUAACUUUUAUAUCCCCCUGAUGGAUGCUGAGCCUGGUCUCCCUGGGACCAGGGUGAGUCCAGCUAACCGAAGGUCUUCAAGGGGAGGAGCUGAGGACCCAGCAUCUCCUGGCAGUGUACCUGGAUGAAGUCCGAGGGGAGUGCUCCCCGAAGGACACCAGCCCAAUGGAGAUGGUCUGCAGGAAUGGCCGGAUGGCAGGCGUGAACUGUGGAGAGACGCGGCUGCGUCACCCACCGCUCAAGAGAGGGAUGGGGACAGGGCAGGAGCGAGGCACAGGGAUGUGCGGGGAAGACACAUUCAUUCAGUAAACGUUUCAUGAGCUCCUACUGUGUGCUGGGCAUAGCUCUCGGCUGGUUCACGGACCUGAUGUUCUCAAAGGGAAAACAAAUGAUCAGCAGAUAAGCAAAGCCACGCGCAGUAUCAUGACAAGGAAUGACGAAUGGUUUGGAAAAAAAAAAAGGCAGUAGGUGGAGAGGGCACCAGUGAUGACUAGGGGUCAGGCUACUUAGCGGGUCUCGGAGGAGAGAUCUGACUGAAGCGAGGGGAGGGUGUUCCCUGCACAGGGAACAGAGAGCAUGAAGGCUUAAAGGUGAGCUCAUAGGAGGCUGAGGCAGGAGAAUCGCUUGAACCCAGGAGGCAGAGGUUGCAGUGAGUGGAGAUCACACCACUGCACUCCAGCCUGGGCGACAGAGCGAGACUCUGUCUCUAAAAAAAAAAAAAGGUGAGCUCAUGCUUGGUGCUUGACCUGGGUAGCGACAGUCAGGGGGCCAGUGUGGCUGGAGCAGAGUGAGCAGUGGGGAGAGGGGCAGGUGGUGACAUUGGAGAGACUCUGUCUUAAAACAAAACAAAAAAGAUUAGGGCCUUGAAAGGGGCCUGUGUGACUGAGGGGCUCUGAGGCCUCAGGGUCAUUUGCUUGGCUGGAAGUGAAUCUUCUGUCCCGGACUGUCAUCCCCCAGGUGGCCCUGGGGCCUAUCAUGGGACCUGGCACAUAGCAGGUGCUCAGUGGAUAUAUGAAGCAGGAAGGAAGGCAUGAAGAAGCAGAGCGAGGGCAGAGGGGCUAGUUAGCUCAGGAGAGGACGGCCCCUCCCCAGGGCUGGCAGACAGAUGGAUAGACAGAGGCCUCAGGAGGCAGUGUUAGGCUUGCAGCUGUGAAAAUGGGACGAUGUGGGCUAGGCACAGUGGCUCAUGCCUAUAAUGCCAGCACGUUGGGAGGCCGACGUGGGUGGGCCACGAGGUCAGGAGAUCGAGACCAUCCUGGCCAACAUGCUGAAACCCCGUCUCUACUAAAAAUACAAAAAUUAGCGGUAUGGUGGUGGAUGCCUGUAGUCCCCACUAUUGGGAGGCUGAGACAGGAGAAUCACUUGAACCCAGGAGGCAGAGGUUGCAGUGAGCUGAGAUCACGCCACUGUACUCCAGCCUGGCGAUAAAGCGAGACUCUGUCAGAAAAGAAAGGAAAGAAAGAAAGGAAAGGAAGGAAAGAAAGAAAGGAAAGAAGAAAAGAAAAGGAAAGAAAGAUGGCCCAAGCCCUUGCUGGCGACCCUGGAUGAGUCUGUUUUCCUCAUCUGGAAACUGCACUUGGCUGUUCUGCUGGCUCAGGGUGGGAGACAUAAUUUAUAAGUGGGGCCAUGGCCGGCAUGUUCUGCAUGUGGUUUGCUUUGUGGGCUCACUUGGCCUUCCUGAGAUGGUGUAUUGGGUGAUUUUUCUCUGCGGCACUUGUCACCAUCUAGCAUACUAUACAGUUUACUAC